CAACUGUAUCACUGGGAGAUAUAUGUUAUGUCUGCAGGGUCAGCUGGAAUAUUUUCAUUUUACUUUUUUUGCUACAUAGAAACGUAGAGUUCACAAUUAGGAGGCUGAUAUCAUUAAUUUCGAUGUAAAGUAUUCGUCUCAAUCUACCCUCGAUGUCUAUACGUAAAUCAAAAUACGAGACAAACUCUGAGGUAUAAGAUAGAGGCGAUAGAUACGAAUAGCCCAUUCAAACUCAUACUAAAUAAAAGUCGAAAAUGAACUGACAACGCAUUACCUAAAAAAAGAAGAAAGAAACAGACAAAAAUUCCUUUAUUUCAAUUGCAAUGGGAUAUAUGAGUUUACCAUACAUACUAAACUUUGAAUUAUUUAUCGAGAAGACAUUAUCUAUAUAACGAAGGUAAAGUUAUAAGAUAUUAGUAGCUUCCGCCCAUUCUACAUGAAAAGCUAGCGUAUGUGUGUUGAUCAAGGUCAUCCAAACGUAACAUAUAUAUUGUGACGAUUAACGGUUUUUUUUAUAUAUAAAAUCGGAUCAACUGGGGCGA
rnacentral:lncRNA from 1 species